UUCUCUGUUCUGUGUGAAUCUGCAGUGAUGUAUCAGUGUCCUGCUGGAUACCUGCUUCAGGGUGCCACACAAAUCACCUGUGACCCCAACACCCAGCAGUGGACCCCACAAACGCCCACAUGCCAAGAUAUUGAUGAAUGUUCCGCUCAUCCGUCCGUCUGCCCUCCACACCUGCAGUGCUUGAACACACCUGGAGGUCACACCUGCACCGAACCUGCAGCUCCGCCCCUUUCC